CCCCUAGAUGUUCUGGGCCGCACGCGCGCUACACUGAACAGUUCAACAAGUCUUAACCUUGGCCGAUAGGUCUGGGUAAUCUUUGAACGCUGUUCGUGAUUGGGAUAGACCUUUGCAAUUAUGGGUCUUCAACGAGGAAUUCCUAGUAAACGCAAGUCAUCAGCUUGCAUUGAUUACGUCCCUGCCCUUUGUACACACCGCCCGUCGCACCUACCGAUUGAAUGGUCCGGUGAAAUCUCAGGACGGCGGCUUGGUCGCUUGCGUCCGACUGCUGAAACUUGAUUAAACCAUAUCAUUUAGAGGAAGGUGAANUCGUANCA
rnacentral:rRNA from 1 species